rnacentral:lncRNA from 1 species
UGGAAUCAUUCUGUGAACAACCUGAAGCCUUCAGCAGCAGUUAGUUAUUUAUGAAGGUAAUAAAUAGGCAUAACUGUUUAUUCAUUGCAGGUAUGCCUGUGUCUGGAGGAGAUGGAGGGCAAUUUUCAAAUUUUAUCCACAUGAUGGAUGUGGAAGGGAGGCCAUGGGAUAAGAGGACACCCGACCAGAAACAAGCUGCCUUUUUGUUGUUAAUAGCCAGGAAGUCUCUGCGGUGCAGAUGUGACAGCAACAGCAAAACCUAUUUUGAGGUCCUGUCCCAUGAAGUAGCUGUGACUACAAAUUGAUCCUUAAUAAUUUCAUCUACCGUAUAAACUUGCUGGAU